rnacentral:rRNA from 1 species
UUUAACUGAAGAGUUUGAUCAUGGCUCAGAUUGAACGCUGGCGGCAGGCUUAACACAUGCAAGUCGAGCGGGGGAAGGUAGCUUGCUACCGGACCUAGCGGCGGACGGGUGAGUAAUGCUUAGGAAUCUGCCUAUUAGUGGGGGACAACAUCUCGAAAGGGAUGCUAAUACCGCAUACGUCCUACGGGAGAAAGCAGGGGAUCUUCGGACCUUGCGCUAAUAGAUGAGCCUAAGUCGGAUUAGCUAGUUGGUGGGGUAAAGGCCUACCAAGGCGACGAUCUGUAGCGGGUCUGAGAGGAUGAUCCGCCACACUGGGACUGAGACACGGCCCAGACUCCUACGGGAGGCAGCAGUGGGGAAUAUUGGACAAUGGGGGGAACCCUGAUCCAGCCAUGCCGCGUGUGUGAAGAAGGCCUUAUG